CCGCCGCGCGCGGCGGGCCUACGGGAGGCAGCAGUGGGGAAUAUUCCGCAAUGGACGAAAGUCUGACGGAGCAACGCCGCGUGAGUGAAGAAGGUUUUCGGAUCGUAAAACUCUGUUGUUAAGGACGAAUGUAUAGAUGGUGAAUAAUGGUUUAUAAUGACGGUACUUAACGAGGAAGCCACGGGUAACUACGUGCCAGCAGCCGCGGUAAUA
rnacentral:rRNA from 1 species